UUAGAAGAAGUGUCCAAGGAAUCCUUAAUAAAGUUACACCACGGAAGUUUGAAACUCUAUUGACUCAAAUCAAAAAUCUUAACAUAGACACUGAGGAAAAACUGUGCACAGUCAUUGAUUUAAUAUUUGAGGAAGCUGUGGCCGAGCCAAACUCCAGUGUCCCCUAUGCAAACAUAUGCAAGCAUUUGGUAUUGAUUAAAGUGCCCACUAAGAAUAAGGACUAUGUAAAUUUCCGUAAAGUUUUCUUAACAAAGUGCCAAAAAGAAUUCGAAGAGGGUAGGAGUGAUUAAUUGAAACACGAGGAAAGGGUUAAGGCUCUGGAAGAAGCUGCUCCAGAAGAAAAGAAAGAAUUAGAGCAGGAAAUGUAUGAUGAAGAUAAGAUGAAAUAUAGGCAGCUUGGCAUUACAAGAUUUAUUGGUGAACCUUGGAAUAUUAAUCGAACCUAUCAUGCAUGAAUGCAUAAGGAGGCUCAUCUCUCAAGGAGAUGAAGCAUCACUUCAGUGUUUGUGUCAAUUGCUGAAAACGAUAGAUAAAGAAUUAGAUGAUCGAAAAGUUAAAGGUUCAAAA